UACGUAGGUGACAAGCGUUGUCCGGAUUUACUGGGCGUAAAGAGCGCGCAGGCGGUCGAUCAAGUCGAGUGUGAAAGCCCCCGGCUCAACUGGGGAGGGUCAUUCGAUACUGAUCGACUCGAAGGCAGGAGAGGGUAGUGGAAUUCCCGGUGUAGUGGUGAAAUUCGUAGAUAUUGGGAAGAACACCGAUGGCGAAGGCAGCCAUCUGGACCGACACUGACGCUGAGGCGCGAAAGCGUGGGGAGCAAACAGG
rnacentral:rRNA from 1 species